rnacentral:rRNA from 1 species
UACGUAGGGUGCGAGCGUUAUCCGGAAUUAUUGGGCGUAAAGAGCUCGUAGGCGGUUUGUCGCGUCUGCUGUGAAAACUGGGGGCUCAACCCCCAGCCUGCAGUGGGUACGGGCAGACUAGAGUGCGGUAGGGGAGAUUGGAAUUCCUGGUGUAGCGGUGGAAUGCGCAGAUAUCAGGAGGAACACCGAUGGCGAAGGCAGAUCUCUGGGCCGAAACUGACGCUGAGGAGCGAAAGCAUGGGGAGCGAACAGG